GCGGCGGACGGGUGAGUAACACGUGGGCAACCUGCCCUACAGAUGGGGAUAACUCCGGGAAACCGGGGCUAAUACCGAAUAAUCAGUUUGUCCGCAUGGGCAAACUCUGAAAGACGGUUUCGGCUGUCACUGUAGGAUGGGCCCGCGGCGCAUUAGCUAGUUGGUGGGGUAAUGGCCUACCAAGGCAACGAUGCGUAGCCGGCCUGAGAGGGUGACCGGCCACACUGGGACUGAGACACGGCCCAGACUCCUACGGGAGGCAGCAGUGGGGAAUAUUGCGCAAUGGGCGGAAGCCUGACGCAGCGACGCCGCGUGGGGGAUGACGGCCUUCGGGUUGUAAACCUCUUUCGACCGGGACGAAGGGUGACUGACGGUACCGGUAGAAGAAGCACCGGCCAACUACGUGCCAGCAGCCGCGGUAAUACGUAGGGUGCGAGCGUUGUCCGGAAUUAUUGGGCGUAAAGAGCUCGUAGGCGGUGUG
rnacentral:rRNA from 1 species